CCCCUUUGAGGGUCACAUCUGGGGAGUUUCCAGUACUCUACCAGUCUCGGCUACUGGAGGUAGAACCAAGCAGAGAGGCCUACCCAUUCCAUUCCUAGCUUGGGCAGUGGCUAGCGAGUAGAAGGCAAUCUGCCACAAGU